GUAGCACGAGCCGCGUAAGGGAGAGG
rnacentral:sRNA from 1 species